rnacentral:rRNA from 1 species
ACUCCUACGGGAGGCAGCAGUGGGGAAUAUUGCACAAUGGGGGAAACCCUGAUGCAGCCAUGCCGCGUGUGUGAAGAAGGCCUUCGGUUGUAAAGCACUUUCAGUAGGGAGGAAGGUAGUGUAGUUAACACCUGCAUUAUUUGUACGUUACCUACAGAAGAAGCACCGGCUAACUCCGUGCCAGCAGCCGCGGUAAUACGGAGGGUGCGAGCGUUAAUCGGAAUUACUGGGCGUAAAGCGCAUGCGAGGCGGCCUGUUAAGUCAGAUGUGAAAGCCCGGGGUCUUAACCUCGGAAUUGCAUUUGAAACUGGCAGGCUAGAGUCUUGUAGAGGGGUUAGAAUUUCAGGUGUAG